rnacentral:rRNA from 1 species
GUGGGGAAUAUUGGACAAUGGGCGAAAGCCUGAUCCAGCCAUGCCGCGUGUGUGAAGAAGGUCUUCGGAUUGUAAAGCACUUUAAGUUGGGAGGAAGGGUAGUAACCUAAUACGUUGCUACUUUGACGUUACCGACAGAAUAAGCACCGGCUAACUUCGUGCCAGCAGCCGCGGUAAUACGAAGGGUGCAAGCGUUAAUCGGAAUUACUGGGCGUAAAGCGCGCGUAGGUGGUUCAGUAAGUUGGAGGUGAAAUCCCCGGGCUCAACCUGGGAACUGCCUCCAAAACUGCAUGACUAGAGUACGGUAGAGGGUAGUGGAAUUUCCUGUGUAGCGGUGAAAUGCGUAGAUAUAGGAAGGAACACCAGUGGCGAAGGCGACUACCUGGACUGAUACUGACACUGAGGUGCGAAAGCGUGGGGAGCAAACAGGAUUAGAUACCCUAGUAGUCC